GAUGAACGUUGGCGGCGUGCUUAACACAUGCAAGUCGAACGCUAAUAGCAAUAUUGGAGUGGCGCACGGGUGAGUAACACGUAGCUUACCUACCUUCGAGAGUGGGAUAACGUUCCGAAAGGAAUGCUAAUACCACAUAAGCUCCCGACCUCCAGAGGGUUGAGAGAAAAGGGGAAACCCGCUUGAAGAUGGGGCUGCGGCCCAUCAGCUAGUUGGGGCGGUAAAAGCGCACCAAGGCGACGACGGGUAGGGGGCCUGAGAGGGCGAUCCCCCACACUGGGACUGAGACACGGCCCAGACUCCUACGGGAGGCAGCAGUGAGGAAUAUUGCACAAUGGGCGAAAGCCUGAUGCAGCGACGCCGCGUGGAUGAUGAAGGCCUUCGGGUCGUAAAAUCCUUUUCUGUGUGACGAGAACGGACGGUAGCACAGGAAUAAGUCUCGGCUAACUACGUG
rnacentral:rRNA from 1 species